rnacentral:lncRNA from 1 species
AUGCAAAAAUCACAAACACUGUCUCUUUUUUUCCCUCUUUCAUGCAUCUCUGUUCGGAGUAACAAUGAAGCUCCUCCCUCUCUGCUCUCCACUCUCUCUCUUUCUCUCUUUCUCUGUGUUUCUCUCUGUUUGGAUCUGUCAGUCUCUGUGCUGGUGUUUGGUGGCAGCGUUUCUCUUCAUUGCAGGGGCAGCUUCAUUCUCUCCUCCAGGAUGUCGGGCCUUCUGACCAGCUCUCUUCUGCUCUUCCUCUCCCUGACGCUGUUCCAGAUCCCCACACCAGAGGCAAAGCCUCUCUCUACCAUGCGUGGAGGAGGUCGCAGCUUUGACAUCCAGGCAGCUGAAAUCCGUCUGCGAAGAGACCUGCGAGAUUCAGUGCCCUACGAGGCACAGAUGAUGUCUUACCCCACUGCUGACUUCAGGAGUCGGAGCAAUGAUCUGUACUACCAACCAGAGGUCUUAAGAGCUCAAGGUCUUGGACAAGCCCUCCAGCGGCUGGUGGAGAACGAUCAGAGGCGAGAACAGGAAGCAGUUUAUCUGGCGUCAAUGCUGCGUCUCCUAAACGAGGCACAGAAUAACGGACAGGGCAAACCAGAGGAAGAGGAGGAGGAGGGUGAUUUCCAGGGCCCAUACCCUCCAGACUACGAUGAGACCGAGCAGGCUGUGAGCAUGGCCAAGCCCCAGGCCUCAUGGCAGGGCCUUCUGGAUCCUCAGCUUACUCAGGCUCUGCUCAACCGCUACAAGCAGGAGAGACUGAUGCAGGCUGGACUCGCUCAAAACACCAACAGGAUAUCAGAGAGAGAGCAGGACAAAGACCAAGAGAUGCUCAGGUACCUUGUUGAGAAGAUCCUCUCCAGCUUGGCAUCGGGUGGCAGUCAGGGAGGUCCUUCAAACCAGCGUGCUAAACGGGAUCUGAGCGCUGUGGCCAACAUGGAGCAAUCUGGAGGAUCCGCCCUAAAACGCUCCCGCCGGUCCCUGGACUCCGCCCCUGGCCCCUCCCCCCACGCCGAGGCAUCACUGCUGAGGGUGAAACGGCUCGAUGGUGAUGUGGAUGACGAAGAGGUUGCAGGGCAGAGCAACAGAACACCACACGUCGGCCUACAGAGAAUGAAGCGCAUAGACACUGACCUGCCGCCCCCCAAAAAACACAGCCGCAAGCGCAGAGCCCUGACCUAUGACCCCGCUCUGAUCGCCCAGCACAUCCUGCAGUACCUGCCAGCCUAA